GAUGAACGCUAGCGGCAGGCUUAAUACAUGCAAGUCGAGGGGCAGCAGGGUGGUAGCAAUACCACUGCCGGCGACCGGCAAACGGGUGCGGAACACGUACGCAACUUACCCUGAACUGGGGCAUAGCCCGGGGAAACCCGGAUUAAUACCCCGUAACACUUGGGGGUGGCAUCACCGCUUGGUUAAAGCUCCGGUGGUUCAGGAUGGGCGUGCGGCUGAUUAGGUAGUUGGUUGGGGUAACGGCCCACCAAGCCAACGAUCAGUAACUGGUGUGAGAGCACGACCAGUCACACGGGCACUGAGACACGGGCCCGACUCCUACGGGAGGCAGCAGUAAGGAAUAUUGGGCAAUGGAGGCAACUCUGACCCAGCCAUGCCGCGUGGAGGAUGAAGGCCCUCUGGGUUGUAAACUUCUUUUACCUGGGACGAAACCUUCCUUUUCUAAGGGAGUUGACGGUACCAGGGGAAUCAGCACCGGCUAACUCCGUGCCAGCAGCCGCCGUAAAAC
rnacentral:rRNA from 1 species